AAAGAACACAGUGUUGGGGCCUAUAUCCUAGGCCCCCCGCCUCAUCGGCCCAGACAGAAUGGGGAGCUGGCAGCAGCUCCUAGCCCUCAGGCCAGGAGAAGUCACCCAACCUGUGCACAGCCCACUUGUUCCCAGGGGCCACGACUGCAAGACUGUGGCUCCUCCCCCCGACACGCCCUCGAGGCCAGGGAAAAUCCUGAUAACUUAAGAAGUUUCCCUAACCUGGGUUAGAGGAGGGAGGCACUGGCCCUGGGGUUCCAGAAAGUUCCCACUGUGAGUCUCAGUUAACCCACAAAAGACAGCUCAUGCCCCUUCUUGCAGGGACCCCCACUGCCCACUGCUGGAAAUAAGAACCUCAGUGUCUCUGAUACUUCGUGUGACCGAGGCAGACUUGUGGUUGUUGGCGGCGUCGGACAGCAUUUUCCAAACUGCUGAUAAAUCCCAACAGCUGAAGACCAACAAGAACCAAUCUAGAGUCCAAAGAAGUUAUUAUUAACUUGCUGCAACAAGGAAGAAUACCCCUACAGAAACCAUAAAGUACCUCACCAAAUAAAAGACAACAUAAGGAUAUAAGAUGAUUUUGAAGAAGGGUGGAGUUUAGGUAUUGCCAAAGCGUCAUCAGGGUUUAGUUCUUGCUGCUAUGCUGCCCCAGGGUGCUAAAAUGUGAAUGAUGCAUAAUAUCCCUAUGGAUGUGAUCAGUCUAAUCAAAGCGGCCCUGGAGCCUAGGUUUCGCUUCUUUGAGUUUAGCAAGUCCAGCUCUUACUGCCAAGCACAACUUCCUCAACACUGACCCCUCCUUCUGGGUGACUUAGGCUACCCUGUUGCUACAUACUGAUUUCUGUGAAGCCAUGGACUGCAUCUUAGCUGAUUCUCACCUAGUCAACUCUGCACCAGAAGAACAGGAGUAGCCAAAUCCAUUCAGCUGCUUAAAAAGGGAGGAAAUUUUAAUUAUUUUCAUUGAUCUGUGCCCUACUUUAUCUUCUUCAAUCAUAUUUUUACUCUUAAUCAGGAAUAUGUUUCCCUUUCCUAAUGAAUAUUCCAAUGAGCUCUGGAGAUCUGGUGUUCCAUAUACGGUGCAUUCCUGAGCUCCUGUCAUAUUAAAUUUGCAUACCCAUUCAUACCUAUGUAGCAUUACUUGCUUAACUGAGGAAGGAGUAGGUAAGGAGUGAGCAUAAUAUGCCACUGAUGUUUCACUGUUUGUAUUUUUUUUUCUAAUGAGGCUUGUAAACUAUUUUAUUCAUUUAGAAAAAAAGGAAGAAAAACUGGCCUAAGAAACUUAGUGUUGAAAAAAAGGAAAAGAGAGCACAUAGAGUACACAGCAACAGUGCAAAUCAAAAAGUGCGUACACAUUUUAUGAGAAAAACAAAAGAAUAGAAAGAACAGACUGGUGGUUACCAGAGGGAGGGGGAGGAGGGUGGGAAAAUGGGUGAAGGCUAUCAAAAGACACAAACUUCCAGUUAGAAGAUUAAUAAGUUCUAGGAAUAUAAUGUACAGCAUGGUGACUAAAGUUAAGAAUACUAUACUGUAUAUUCGAAAGUACCUAAGAGCAGAUUUUAAAAGUUCUCACCACACACAAAAAAAAUGUAUAACUAUGUGAGGAGAUGGAUACGUUAACUUAUUGUGGCAAUAAUUUUGCAAUAUAUACAUACAUAAAAUCACUAUGUAUAUACCUUAAACCUAUGUCAAUUAUAUCUCAAUAAAGCCGGAAAAAAUAAAAUUUUAAAAACCAUAUUUUGAAUACCGCCUAAGAGGGAGGAGGGCAUGAGAGUGAUAAAUGGGAUUGAAGAAUAAUUAAAAACAAAUAGAAUACACUGGUCCUCUGGCAGAUCAAUACUAGUGGUUCAGAAACUGGAAUGUGAUUAACUUAACCCUGGGCACUUGAGGUUAAAAAUAAAUACAGAAAUUUUAAAAAACUUGACCAACUAAAACUAUGCUUCAUUUACUGGAAUAGUCUGUUAAUUAAUCAGGUAAUGUGCUUUUCAUGUUUUCUUGGAAGAAGCUAGAAAGAUAUUACUAUUGUUAUUAAUAAUUAGGUUGAGACUAGCUCUUUUUGUCAUGGCGUCAUGAUGGCAUAUGACUACCGGUUGUUAGUUGAAAGACACCUACAACUGGGACUGCCUAAGAGAAAUAUAAUUAAGAACCAUCGGAGCCGUCAAGAGACCAAAUGCAUACAGAAUACAAACGGACUAUGAAGAUUUACAAGGAAAUGGUUCCACAGGGGGAGUCUAAUGAUACGUAAACAGCCAGAGCUCAGCCUUUAAAUGGCUCCUCGUUUUUACCAGAACUCUGGGAUGGAAUUAAUUUCAUGUAAAU
ensembl:lncRNA